CUCUGCUCCAGCUGGCUGUGGACAGGGAGCUGCUGCGUGUGAAGCUCAGCUUUCCUCCUUCCUACCAGAAGGAAGAGUGUGUACGGGAGUGCUCCAUCUGCCUCUUCAGAGACCUGCUGGGCAAAACGGUGUGGAGGGACAAGAAGGUCAUGAGAAGAAACUCGUGGAAGUCCCUGGUCCAGCUCAUCCUUCACAUGAGUGACCAGGCUCCCAACGUGGCCAAGGUACUGAUGUCCAGGCUGAGCAGUGACCCAGAGAGGGGAGGCUGACACCCCCAGGGGAUCCUGGCAUUGUGGCGAGUCCUCCUUCCACAGGCCCUGGUGCCACCUCCCAGCUUCUGUCCUGCAGGCCUCCAAGGAAACCAUCCUGGCUAUAGCAGAGCUCCUCAAGUGGAAAAAGCUGAAGCACCUGGCGCAGACAGAGCAGACAUGGAGGAUGGGCGAGUGCUUGCUGGCCAAGGACAGCAGCAGGGCUGAACGGUUCGUGUGGGACAGCCAGCCCUACCUGCUGAGCCCUCAUGCCCCCAUGCGAGAGGCGGCCCUCAGGUUCAUUGGGCUGGCUGCGCGGCACCUGAGAGAGGAGAGUGAGGACACCCUGGCUGAGGUCAUCUUGAGUGAGUGGGGAGCCAGGGCCUGGGGGAGCCGAGGGGGUCUGUGCACAUACAGGGGCUCAUCUGGGCUCUCUUUAUGUUGCAGAACUUGACACACUGCAAGAGAGAGAGAAGGAUGCCUCCAUCCGUUGCCUGGCAGCUCAGACCAACUUGGUCUUGAAGUUUCUAAAAAAGCAGCAAAGACCAAGAUUCUCCCUGCGCACACUGUGCUGCUGGUGCUGCUGAGCAGAGAGGGACCUUCACAUCAGGCUUGUCAGGGACACAAACUCAAACACCUGCUGAAUCGUGGGUUGUGAAAGGAUGCCCUGGCUUUCUAAGCUCCUUCUCAAAGUGCAGCCC
rnacentral:lncRNA from 12 species